GACGAACGCUGGCGGCGUGCUUAACACAUGCAAGUCGAGCGGUAAGGCCCUUUCGGGGGUACGACGAGCGGCGAACGGGUGAGUAACACGUGGGCGACCUGCCCUCAGCUCUGGGAUAAGCCUGGGAAACCGGGUCUAAUACUGGAUAUGACUCCAUGACGCAUGUUGUGGGGUGGAAAGCCUUGUGCGGCUGAGGAUGGGCCCGCGGCCUAUCAGCUUGUUGGUGGGGUGAUGGCCUACCAAGGCGACGACGGGUAGCCGGCCUGAGAGGACGACCAGCCACACUGGGACUGAGACACGGCCCAGACUCCUACGGGAGGCAGCAGUGGGGAAUAUUGGACAAUGGGCGCAAGCCUGAUCCAGCGAUGCCGCGUGUGUGAAGAAGGCCUGCGGGUUGUAAAGCACUUUCAGUAGGGAAGAAAAGCCGAGUGCUAAUAUCACUCGGUCUUGACGUUACUUACAGAAGAAGCACCGGCUAACUCCGUGCCA
rnacentral:rRNA from 1 species